rnacentral:lncRNA from 10 species
AAGCAGCUGACUUCAGGGCUAGGCUGGUCUCCAGCAUCAUAAGAGCAAAGGCAUGCUUUGUGGUUACAGAUUGGCACUGGAGCGGCCCUCCCUCCCUCUCUUUUGGGGACCUCGAGGGUCCAGGGGCGAGGGGAGCCGUGCCAGCAGCCUGCCUCAGUGUGUGUUCUCUGAGCACCUCGUGACCUUGCUGGGAGUGUGUCUGAUCAGCCGCUUCCCUUGUGACCAAAUAUUUGGUCAUGGCAGCAGGAGAGAAUUCCAUCAGUGGACAGCUCUAUUUUUAAGGCUCUGGCUUUGUUUUCUCUUUCCUGAGAGGCAGUCCCUGCAGCAGGCUUGAGCCUCUCUCACUGACAGCCUGCCUCGCAUAAUGUUAAGCAGGCAUCGGACACUUGCUGGAAGGCAGGGAAUUGCAAUGAAAGAGCACGGAGGUGAGAAGCUGUGCUCCUUGGGGUGAAGGCAGCUUCUGUGCUCCUGGGAUCUACUGUUAAGCCAGGGUGACGCCAGCUUGCAUGCUACCGGAGGGAUGAGUCUUUGGCUCAGCAGAAUGGGCCUAGGUGGAGCUUGAAAUUAAUGAAGAGAUGCUGCUUCCAGCUUUUUGAGCAAGAAGAAGUUUGGCCUCCAGUUAUUACACCUUGAGGUCAGCGGGUAUCUCAAGUCUGAGUAGUUAUAAAAGUGAGCUGAUGUAGAAACACCACCAAAGCAACGUUUUAUCUAAAUAUUUCAGAUCCCCCAUUAUAAAUCAUUUAUUAUGAUUACCCUUUUGGUGUCAUGGAAUGAGAUGAUGAGCUUUUCUUAAUGAAGUAUUUCAUAGACAUAUUUUUUCCAUUUAUCUUGGUGUUGGAUGCUAUGUGACCUGAAUGGCAAAUGAGGAAAUAUUUGUGCAACUCCUGAAAUGCACACAUCUCCCCAUGCCAGAGUGCAGGAGCGGACAGGGCUUUCCCUGGCAGCAAUAGGAGCCCGGUCCUGAGUAGGGCCUCUCCAGCCUGACUGCACCAUAGCAGGUGACAUCUGACUUGGGGUGUGCCAUGUUCCCAGAGCUGCUUUUUUAAGGAGUUUGGUGGGAGCUGGAGGAAGCAUCCACAUCUUUAAAAACAAACCUUAACUCGUGAGAAGAAAAGUGGUAAACAUUCAAACACAAUUUGAACUUUUAAUUUAGCCUUGUGAGUUCAUCUAUAUCCAUUUCCAGGAAAGGUCAUGGGCUGAGGUGUGGUGCUUCACUGAAAUAAAUGCACUUUGGAGUUGACAGUAACCAAGCAAGGCCAGGGACCCUGAGGAGACCCCUCCCCACACUUGCAAUGAUCAAACAUGCUACAUCUUAGAAAUUGGAUCUGCCGGUUUAUGGCAACUUGACGUAAAAUGUGUAUCUCAGGUCAGGCUGAUCUGAUUUAAAUAUCUUAGUGUUAGGCAUUCUCUAUCUGACAUUGUGAAAACGCAUAUAAUGGAACCAAGAUUAGAAUAUCAAGAUGACAAGAAGGAUUGUACCUUGAAGACAGUAAAAGUCACUUGCAUUCUGGGGUUACACAUUUAAUUUAAAAUAGUUUUAUUCCCUGUUCCUAGGGUCCUUGUAACUCUCUCCUCUGCUAUAUUUAUAUUAAAUAAAUAAUUUUAAAUGAGUCAAAGUGUCUUGCUCCUUGGCCCACUAUAGAAUGUCAGUGUUCCUUUUCAAUAUUUCUACUUCUUAGAUCCUGCCUUCACCACAAUGGGGGUUCAUACAGGGUUGGAGUAGGUUGUUCUUCUCACCAAGUUCCCAAGCCCACAUAAAAUGGCAGCAUCAUAUUUCACCGGACCCAGCUCUGCAGAAAGUAGUGGAAAAAAAAGUCUGUGAUGGACUUAGGACCCAAGGAGGCAAAACAGAGUUUGGCUUUUCCCUUAGGGCUCUGUAUAUGUCAAAGAGGACCACACAUGGGCCAAGUGACGUGCAUAUUGUGCCUGGGUGAUGCUGCCCCAGCUUCUACCCACCAUGGAUGGGACCAACAAAUGCUUCCCAGCUGAGAGGCAGUCACAGUGCCAGGGUGAUCACAAAAUUGCCCAGUUGGAUGAAGACUACCCAGAAACUGGAGGAUAACCUCACCCACUCUCAGCUACCAGUAGGGUCAAUAGUAAGCCAGAAGUGAAAGCUUUCUUUCCAUUGCCUCUUACUUUGUUUCCCCAUGUCACAGUCAGCUAUACCUUCCUAAGCCAUAACUCUGAUCAUGCCCCCUGCCCCCGUUUCAGACCCUUCAGAAGCUUCACUUUGUCUCUGGAAUGAACUGGAGCAUCCGCUUCUCAGCCUCUGAGGCCCCACGUGCACUGCACCCGCCCUUCCUCAGCCUCCCCAUCACAUGGCUCUUUCCAAACCCAUGGGCUGAGCCUGCUCUCAGGGCCUCCAUGUGCCACCCUCUGCUCAGCCUCAGAGUUUCCACGUGUGUCUUAGCCUCCUGUUCUGUGCUGCAAUAACAGAAUACCUGAGACCAGGUGGUUUAUAAAUAAUGGAAAUAUAUUUCUUACAGUUCUGGAGGCUGGAAAAUCUAAGAUCAAAAUGCCAACAGGUUUGGUGUCUGGUGAGGGCCCACUCUCCACUUCCAAGACGAUGCCUUGAACACUGCAUCCUCCAGCGUGGAGGAAACACAGUUCCUCACAUGUCAGAAGAACAAAAGAGGAAAGAGAGAGCCCACUCUCAAAAGCCCUUUUGUUUAAGGUAUUAAACCCACCAUGAGGGAAGAGCCUACAUGGCCUUACCACCUGUUAAAGGCUUCACCUCCCAAGACCAUUACAUUGGCAAUUACAUUUCAACAUCAACCUUCAGGCCUCCACUUAAGCGAGUUCUGACGUCAGUGAAUACUUCUGCAGCAUGGAAGUGCCAGGACCCUCGUUGGCCCCUGAUGGCCAAAUAGCCUCACUCUCCAUUAGAAGAGAAAGCCUCACUCUCCAUUAGAAGGCCAGGAGAGCGAAAUCAGGGAUUGCUUUCAAAACAAACAGUGUGGCAAUAAAGAAUUUCAG